rnacentral:misc_RNA from 1 species
GAAUACAGAUGCCUGUCGAGCUUGCUCACGGGCUUUCUAUCAUAUCCAUAACACCUGUGCACUUGUUGGAUGUUCUAGAGACUAAAUGCUUACAGCUGUGGUCAAUAGUCAUCCACUUACACUAAACAAUAAUGUAACAAAUGUAGUCUUAUUAUAACAUAAUAAAACUUUCAACAACGGAUCUCUUGGCUCU